CAUACCUAUUGUAGCUUCUUUGGAUUCUACAGCACAGAUUGCACAACCAAGUGGGGCUGAUUGGCAAGAAGAAGUGUACCAAAAGAUCCAAACCAUAAAAGAAAAUUACUUCACAGAGAUGAACGAAGAGUACCAGAAAGUUGCUUUGAGACUUCAGCAGGUUUUUCAAUGUCAAAUGACUUAUUGAGUACUGACUCUGAAAAGUGAGGUGCUCACACACUACCCUCUCCUUCUCAGGUAUCCACGUCAUUUGUCGAUAUGUAAUAUCUUUAUUUUCCUUCAACGGUUAAUAUAAUUCAUGUUCAAUCUUAAUUUUGGUUUGCCAACAAUCCAUGCAUGUUCAAGAGUCACUCUUCUUUUGGGGUUCUUGGCUUUCGUGUGUUUUGCUUCCUCUCAUGGACAAGUAAGUUGAUGAGUUGAGACAUCUAACUGAUACAAAACAGAUGAUUAUUUUAAAUUAAUGUGUUUCCAUUCAGUACUUUCCCCUCAUAUUAAAAGUUUUAAUGUGAUUUUCUCAAAUAUAAAUCCUUUUCAAUUCUUCCAGUAGACAUUAGACUGCAAAUCUUCAAUGAAUUGGUGUAUUCUCAAUGCCUAACAGUGUAGCCUCUCAAUGUAUUUCGAUAUUGUUCUCUUCACUGUCUUCAGCUACAGUACAUUAGUGUUAUAUAUAUGUUUUGAUGGCAUAAUGUUUACUUGAAAGACUAUCCUGAAGUGCAUGAUGGUUUGGUGGAUGUCAUUUUGUCUUUACUUUUUGUUGGUAUUUCAGUACUAUUUCUGCAGGUUCUAACAUGAAAGAUAAUUAAUUGCAAAUCAUAAAUGAUUGCUCCAAUCUUUAAACAUUGAUUCUGAAUAAUUCAGACCAAUUUUUACAACACUGGACAUUAGCAGUAAACUACCAAAAGUUUCUACUUUUUUCUAUGAUUAGAAAAGUGAAGUGGUGGAAUAGAAAAGGCUGUUGCUGAGGGAUGAGCUGGAAGCCUGAAUUUUUAUGGGAGCUAAUGAGUUUGUUGAAGCCCUUUUGCAGUUUUACAAUCAGUUGUGCAUGAAGGAAAUUUGAUGGCUCAGGAAGUUGGAGCAAUGGCCCUCUUCAACCUUGCUUUGAAAAACAAUAGGAAUCUGUUGUGUAAAAUUUUAUAGUUGUUUAGGUGUUGAACCAUGAAGUAAAACUGAUUAUCAUAUGAUUGAAAAAUCAAAACAAUUCUUGAUGUUUGAAUACUGAGACCUUGAAUUUUAGCCAAAGUCUUACCCUUCAUGAUCUUUUAUUAUGAAAAUCAUCUUCAAUAAAAAAAUCAUCUUUAAGAUUUGGGCAAUGGUAAUGCCCUAGCUCUUCAACCUUGCAUGACGUGUUUGAAAUUAAGCAGCAGCUUUUUUCUAGAACUUGCACUUGACUUCCUUUAUCCAUUCUCUAGGCUAUUAAAUACUUACAGUGUUUCUCUCUCUCUCUCUCUCUCUCUCUCUCUCUCU